rnacentral:pre_miRNA from 1 species
UGUUAAAAUUCUAUUUAUUUGUAUUAUUAAAAAUUGGUGUGACUGAUAAAAUGACUAGAUAAUCACACGUGUCAUGUCAUGUAUAUCUCAUAUCGAUGUAUAAUAUAAUUUUUAACAAUAAAAAUAGAUACAUGAAUUUUUUAACA